CAGCAGUUCAAGUUGCAUCCCUUUUUAUUGGGUCUAAAACAUCCGUAGCUUGCCGUUUAAGUCCUUUGUGAAAUCUCGUGUCUCAAGCACGAGGCUUGCAGAGGAUACUGAGCGGCUAGAGAUCGGUAGACGUAAGCAGUACGCCGGGGGUAAUGGUAAAAUAUGUUAAUCCUCGGUGGACUAACAAUGAGCGAAGGCAGCUUACGAGGACGAAUCUGACAGUGAGGGAUGAAAGCUGGGGGAGCAAACCGGAUUAGAUACCCGAGUAGUCC
rnacentral:rRNA from 1 species